rnacentral:lncRNA from 1 species
CCGUAGCCCAUGUUCAAAAGAAAGAAAAAGAAGGAGAAAAGAGGGGGAUAGGAAGGAAAAGAGGGAAAGGAUAAGAGAGCAAUAAUUAUACUUUCUCCCACCUCUAUUUCUCCUACAACAAAAUCAGCAGAAAGAAAAGAAAGAAAAAGAGAGAGAAUGAAAGAGAAAGAAAGAAGAAGAUGAAACCAUGGAAGCAUGAAGGAAGAAUAAGAAAUCAAAAGGUAAAACCAAAAUUUUUCAUCUCUUUACUUUUCUUAAGAGUUUGAUUUGUUGAAAGUUGGGUUAUAGGGGAUCAUGAUGGAUCCAAAGUAAUAAGGAAGUAUAUGAUAAAUAUUUUAUGUUUAAUCUAUGUCAUAAUUGAAUUUAAGAUCAAAAAGUUAGGAAUGUGUUUGAGGAUGAAUAAAAGUUAUUUUGAGGACUUAAAUCAAACUUGUAAAAGUGUUGAUAGUUGAUUAAUGUGUAAUAUCUGAGGAGGAUGAUCUAUAGAUUAAGAAGUUAUGGAAAUAUUCCAAUUUGAACGGACUAAAAAUGAUUUAAAUCGAAGUAGUGGUGAAAGUUUUCGUAAACAUGUUAAACGAUGAAAAACUUAGUCUUGGGGGACUUUUGAGCAAAAUUUUUGAAUAAUUAAUGAAUCUGAAAAAUUAUGAAAUCAUGGAGGUUUUGUAGAGCAUGUUACAAUCUUUCCAUAACCUUGAAAAUGGACUAAUUCCGACUUAAAAUGAAGAAGUUAUAAAGAUUUGAAGUAUGUGCGUCAAAAGUUGCAAAAUCUAGAACAUUGGAGUUAAGUGCCAAGGGUCGAGCGCCUAAGCACUAGGCUCGGCGCUUAGAAUCUGUUCUAGGGCGCCUAGGCGCUUGCCCAAGGCCAAAUUUGGGCGCCUAGGCGCUGAUCUAGUGUUAAGCCAAAAUCUGUUCAGACGUCCUUUAGUAAAUUGGGCAUAACGUCUUCAUAUGAACUCCGAUUGAGGUGAUUCAGGAUGAUUUAAAAAGAUAACGAGUAGACCCAAAACUUUUAUUCUUUAUAUUUUGAGAUUUGAGGUAGUUAUCAAGGCCUAAAAUGGCUAUUUUAGUGACUAAUGUGCAUUUAGAGGCAAUCAGAGGACGUCGGGCAUGCACGUAUGCAACGUGUAAUGUUUUCGAUGAUAAAUGAUGUUGUUAUAAGUUGUAAAACAUGAAAAUUAUUAAAUAUAAUGAUAUUAUGCGAUGAAUAAAGACAACUUAAAUGAACAAUGAAUUAUUAGUUGGUGUAUAUGUUAUUCGAUAUAAUUAUGAUUUGAUGUUGAUCCUUACUUUUAAUAGAAUUUGAAUUGUUUAUAAGUAAGGUAUUAAUUUGAUUCUUACAUAAGAAGUCACUAUGUAUUUUAUUCAAUAAUUGUCACAGUAGUUAUUACACAGUGAUUCAUAUUAUUGAUUCUUAAUUAUGUAAGAAGUCACUCAGUCUUUUAUUCAAUAAUUGCCACAGUAGUUAUUGCACAGUGACUCAUAUUAUUUGAUAUGAUAUAAUUAAACCAGUUGGCAGUAUUGAGAGUAUAUGUUAAUAAUUGUGAAUAAUGGUUCAAAGAUUGAAAAUGGUGUUGAUUAAAGAUAAGUAUGAUAUACAGAUGGUUGUUCAAUUAUUUUCUUUUUUACAAAAGUAAGUUUGGCAGGACUUGCGAACACUCUACUUUUACUAAAGUAGUAUGGACCACAACUCUAUUAUUGAACAAAUUUUAUUAAAACGUGUACAAAGUUGGUUUAAUUUUCUCUGUUGGACCAUAAAUUCCACUACCAUUUUUAUAUACCUCAUUUGGUUAAUUUGUCAAAGCAGAUGUGCUUGUUUACUAAAUUUUUAGUAUAAAUAGGUUGCUCGGUUGAGUAACUAAACACACAUCAUCACUACACUAAAAGUAUAGAAUUCUUUUACUUCAAUAUUGUGAGUAUUUCUAUUGAGUUUAAUGUUACUCCAAGUGUAGAUAAGGAAUGCAAGCAUUGUUUAAGUUGAUUAAUUUCAUAGAAAGCAAAAUCAAGUCACAUGCUAAGGUAAGGGAUAUCAUUAUUAUGGUAAGAGGGUAUCAUUUCACUGUUGAUUUACUUGAUUAUAAAUAUGAAUUAUGAUUUAAUUAUAAUCUGUGGUGGUUCAGGUGAAAACAUGUGAUGAGAGUUCUCUUUGUCUUGGGUAUAACCAAGAACUGUUGAUGAGUAUUACAGGAAUGAAAUAUUAACGAUGGACUUUUAUUCUAGGGGAGAUAGUAGACAUUAUGUUCUACUUGAUUCUUCUAAUGGAUUGUUGAUUUCGCUGCUAUUAUGGUUGGAAACUUUUAUCUUCUACCAUAUGUUCUAAAUAUCUGAAUUAUUAUUGAUGAAGGCUAUUGAUAAUUUAAUUAUCUUAAGUCAUGAUAUUCUUUACUGGGCUAUUUGUGCUCACCCUUUUACUUCAGCACCCCUUUUAGGUAAUAAAAGUGUAGCUGAGACUAGCAGAGAGAACAUGAGUAUAAAGUGUUGAUACGAAUUAGUCACAAGCCUAAUCAAAUUAUGAAACGUGUGGCAUAAUAAUUGUACUGAGAACUUAAAAUGUGUGUGACAUAUUUUAUACAUCAUUUGAUAUUUAAUUUUGGUGAACAACAAUUGGGUGAGGUGAAUCAGAAUUUGGAAACGUCAAAAAUGCACUCCAUUAGAAUGAGGAGGACAGAAAUCUUCUCGUGUUCCUUUGGGGACUUGAAAUAUUUGCUGCUGUACUUUAGAUGGCAUUGUAAUAAUUUGAGUAUGAAUAUUGUCGUAUUAUAUACGUUACAAUAUUUGUAUUGAAACUCACAGUAUAUGUGUCGUCGUAUUUUGCACUACAGUUGUAUAAAUGAAGCUGUCAGUCAUGUAUUUUCUAGCGACCAAGGAUGGGUGGCGUAUACCUAUUUUGGGGGCAUCACAACAGGAUACUGGAAUAGUGAGGUAUCAGACUUCUCUUCUUCUUUCUCUCUAUAAUUUCUCUAUAAUAAUUACUCUUGUGAGACUUAGUGAAUUGGUGAGAAUGAAGGAAGAAUGAGCUUCUAUUUAUAGGAAAAUAUAGUUUCGAUAAUUGCACGUUUUGGGGCUCGAAAUAUUACAAUAUAAUACCUUUAUCUUUUCUUUCAUUUUUAAUUUAGUCCUACAAGUAUUAUCAAACUUGCACCACCUCACCUAAUAGUAAAUCAUGUGAAUCAAUAGUAAAUCAUGUGACUCAAUAGUUCUAAACAUGUGAAAAAAAUAAUUACAGUAUAGUACCUUCAUCUAUAAUUUAAUCAUGCAAGUAUUAUCAAUCUUGCACCACCUCCCCUAAUAGUACAUACAUGUGAACACAUAGUUAUAAGCAUGUGAAUCAAUAGCAAUUAAUUCCUCAUUUAUUCGAUUAAUUACCCGAUUGGUCAAUAUAACCUCUAGACAUCAAUUAUUAUCGAAAUAAAUGUCGAUUUCCACUAACACUAAUAAUUCCAACACAAUGGAACUAUUAAUUUCAUCAUUAAUCAACACGAACUUAUUCAUAAUUAAUAUUAUAAUUCACAAUAUUUAACAACCAGGUCGUUCCCAGGAAAGAGGGGGCUUUCCGAUAAGGAUUUCUCCUUAUUGGCGCGCAAUUAGGUGACCAAACCUCUCCUUGAUAGAACUUCUAGACAUUGUCAAUAUUGCAAAUAAUAAUAUGAAUAACUUUGUUGUCUCAAUUAUUGAUUUAAUAAUAUAAUAUAUUAUACAGUUGAUACUAUGACAAUAAUUGAAUCAAUAAUAUGAGAGUUAUGAUGCAGCAAUUACUGUAGCAAUAAUUGAGUAUAACUGAGUGACUUCUUACGUAAGCAUCAAUAAUCAAUACCGUGUGCUUCUAUGCAACCACACGUAUUACUGUACUUUUACUACCGGGUAGUUCAACAGUUUUAACGGUAACACUCGCCGUUAUUUUUAUAAAAUGAUAAUUUUAUCAUUUUCUAACUACGACAAUACUUCCGUUGUGGGGUCCACAUCGUCGUACGAAUAUUUCUUGUUAAAACGAAUAUUCCCCUACCAAUCGAAUAUUAUAUAACAACUUUCUUACUUUACAAAAUUUAUAAAUAUUACACACAACUAUAACAUUAUAUCAAAUCCACACUAUAAUAUUCAAAAAAAUAUUUCGAGAAAUUUAAAUCUUUAUUCAUAAAAUUUGGGGUCUCACAAUCUCCCCUCCUUAUGAAAUUUUGCCCUCGAAAUUUACGUACGUACCAGGUAUGCUGAAGAGAUGAGGAUACCUUGACUUCAUUUCAGAUUCUAACUCUUGAGGUAUAACCUUUGAGUGUCGAAUAUAAUCCUUCUUAUCCAAGAUUUUAACACGUAUCUCCUCAUAAAUUAAAUCUUUUUCUAUCUCGUCUAGUUCUAAUUCAAUAAUGUGGUUUGGGUCAUCCACAUAAUUAUGUAACAUCGAUACGUGAAAAACGUUAAGAACACACGACAUACUUGACGGUAAAACGAGUCUAUAGGCCACAGUUCCUACUCGAUCGAGGAUUUCAAAUGGGCCAAUUAAAUCGAGGGUUGAGAUUUCCUCUAUUCAUCGACUCUUGCUUCUAGAAUAACGCCUUCUUGAACCUUCUUCUUCAUAUUCAUCAGCUCCAGGUGUGUAGUUUGAGCAGCUUUAACUUUAUCGAUUAAAGUCCAUUCUACUCGUAUAUUCGUUAUCUUCACGUGGGUCUCUAGAGUCUUUAACUCUAUCUUCGUCAUUGUAAGUUAUACGAAAUGGGUUUUUGUGUUAACAAUAUUGCACUCGUAAACGCAUACGAUCUUCUACUCAACGCGUCAGCUACCACAUUCGUUCUUCCACAAUGAUAUUGAAUGGUAUAGUCGUAAUCUUCAACAGCUCGAGCCAACAUCUUUGGCGUAUUAUAUGUUUGUUUUGGUUGAAGAAAUAUUUAAGGGUUGAAGAAAUGGGUUUUAUACUGUGGUCAAUACAAAAUUCGAUUUCACGCUCUAGGGUAGGCGAGGAAGUUCUUCGAGAAUACGUCAGGAAAUUUAUUAACGAUAGAAAUAUCAUUCAAAACUGUGACUCUCAUCCAAGACUUGGAUAGGACAUGAAAUGAAGGUUUCUACUAACGGAGUUUCAACCGAUAAGUCAAAGACUAAUUUCUUCGAAGUCAAAUUUAAACUUUGAGCGCAAGCAAGAGAGACAAAAUAAUGGGUAGAACCGGUAUCUAAUAAGGUAUAGACUUCGCCAGAAUUUAUAAUUAACUAACCUGUACUAACUUCGUUCGGGUUACUCGCUUUUUGAGAAGUCACGAAAAACGUUCUUCCUAAAACCACCGACUUUGUUUUGUCCGUAUCCGCCUUUAGUGCCACCAUCCCAACUGGACUUGACUUUAGCGCACGACAAAAUCGGGCUAGGUGAUCUUCUUUUCCAUAAUUAUAACAUGCUUUAGACUGUAUCACACAGUUUGGAACGGGUGCUGGUGAUACUGUCUUUCCAUCAUUUAAAACAUACGACCGACGGUCGUUCUCCUUCCUUUGAAACGGGUGCUGGUGCUACUGUCUUUCCAUCAUUAUUGAACCUUCUCUUCUUGAAAUUUCCACUUCUAUUAUCUUGGCCAUGAUUACCACUGAAGUGGUUACCAUUUCUAGCAUGAUAAUUUCCUCCACGAUGGUUAUCGUUGUUCCGAUGGCCGUUGCCACCGGUACGAUUAUUAUCGUGUUGCUAGUCAUUACCUUUUGGUUGAGCUGACUCAACGGUCUCAUGUGCUUCAUUGCUUAUCUCAACAUUUUCAGAUGCCUUUCUCAAACACUAUCACAAAACAAGGGUUAAUUGACAUGUCACAUAUUAUCCCUAUACUCUGACCGACCAAUUAAAUACCAAGUAAACUUAGGUAGGUCAUACUAGCGAAAGAAUUCUCCGUCUCUCCCCUCCUAGUUCUUGUCUCACAUCUCAGCCAGGGAUCAUAUUCCUAAGCUUUGAUACCAAUUGUGACGCCCCCAAAAUAGGUAUACAUCACCCAUCUUGAGUAGCUAGAUACAUGGUACAUAAAUUCAAAUACAACUUAAUUAUACAACAGUCGUGUAAAAUACGACAAAAUAUAGCUGAGAGUUUAAACAAGAAUAUUGUCAUCUAGACAAUAUCCACACUCAAUGGUGUCCUCAUUACAAUUAUUAUCACAUUAUUCCGUAGAAUAGUGAGGACUACUAAAGCCAUUUAUCCUGGACCAUCACUCCAUUUCCCGACUCGUCCCAGCUAUAUUCUCAUUUCCUGAAGAGAACAAUGAAAGAAAGGGUGAGCUCAACUAGCCCAGUAAGAAAUAUUAUGACUAAGAUAAUGCAGAAUAAAUUAUCCUUAGCCUUCAACAGUAUAACAACUGAUAGAAUACAAUAGACAACAAGUUUUAGAUCAACAACUGCAGCGGAAAUAAGCAAUCCAUUAGAAGAGUCAAGUAGAGCAUAAAAUCUACUAUCUUCUAUGAUUUAAAAAGUUUUUCAUCAACUUUAUCGCUGAGACUCAGCUUAAUAAAUAAAAUCGAAUCAUCCCUGCACCACGGCCAAGGAUAUUCAUGUAAUCAUCAAUGGUCAUGAUUAUACCGAAUAAUCCCUGGUCAUAAUCAUACCAACAACUGUCCAUCAAUGAACUACAGGCCAAUGAGGACUUUUACCACAUCAUUCGUCACAUUACGGUCAUGAUUAUACCGAAUAAUCCCUGGUCAUAAUCAUACCAAGUUCAUCUAUGCACGUAAGCCAAAGAUGACUUUAAUCACAAUAUAAGCAUGAGGAUGAUGACAAUGACAUAAUAAUUCAAUAAAACAAGUUCAAGGAUAAAUUUUUAAAGAUUUAUAAUUUAAUUUAUCCAGAAAUUAAUAACGUCCAAAUUGUCAACAUGAUACUGCUUUGUAGAGUAAAAUUCAAGAAUAAUAUUCAUGUACCAAAAAUAAUUUGGACAGCAAAAAAAUAUAUUUUUCGGGUGAAUAGUACUCCGUGAAUAGUACCCCGACACGAAAAGUAUCCCAAAUACCCGAGUGAAUGAUACUAGAGUGAAUAGUAAUCGGGUGAAUAGUAACCCGUGAAUAGUAACUCGUGAAUAGUACUCCGGCAUAAAAAGUAUCCUGAAUACCCGAGUGAAUAAUACUAGAGUGAAUAGUAACCGGGUGAAUAGUAACCCGUGAAUAGUAACUCGUAAAAAAAUACUAAGGAAAACGAUAUUCCAUGACGAGUACAAAAGAAAUGAUAUCUCAGACGAGUAUAAUAGAAUAUACGAAAUUGCAAAUGAAUUUUCACCCGCCAUGCGGUAAUCCACGUAGACAGACCAUUUCCACAAUUUAAUAAGGAAUGAAUACAAAGGAUCAUUCACCAUGCAUGCGGUAAUCCACAUAGAAAUGUUAUUCCAACAAAAUAAUAAAGAAUGGAAUAACAAAAGAAUUCACCAUGCAUGCGAUAGACCGCACAGACAGGUUAUUCCCAACAGAAUAAUAAAGAAUGGAAUAACAGAAGAAUUCACCAUGUAUGCGAUAGAACGCACAGACAGGUUAUUCCCAACAGAAUAAUAAAGAAUGGAAUAACAGAAGAAUUCACCAUGUAUGCGAUAGAACGCACAGACAGGUUAUUCCCAACAGAAUAAUAAAGAAUGGAAUAACAGAAGAAUUCACCAUGUAUGCGAUAGAACGCACAGACAGGUUAUUCCCAACAGAAUAAUAAAGAAUGGAAUAACAGAAGAAUUUCACCAUGUAUACGGUACUUCGUAUAGACAGGUUAUUCCAACAUAAUAAUAAAGAAUGGAAUAACAGAAGCUCCCUUCAUGAAUACGAAAGAAAUAAUACCCCUUACCUUAGAAGAAAUAACAUUAUAUCAAAUCCACACCAUAAUAUUCAAAAAAAUAUUUCGAGAAAUUUAAAUCUUUAUUCAUAAAAUUUGGGGUCUCACAGAUAUUAUGCAGGAAUUACUGUAGCAAUAAUUGAGUAUAACUGAGUGACUUCUCACGUAAGCAUCAAUAAUCAAUAUCGUGUGCUACUAUGCAACCACGCGUAUUACUGUACUUUUACUACCGGGUAGUUCAACAGUUUUAACGGUAACACUUUCGCCGUUAUUUUUAUAAAAUGAUAAUUCUGUCGUUUUCUAACUACGACAAUACUUUUGUUUUGGGUUCCACCAAUGAUUGUGUCAUCGUACGGAUAUUCCUGACAAAAAGAAUAUUCCAUGACCAAACAAAUAUUUUAUAACAACUUGCUUACUUUGCAAAAAAUUUCACAUAUCACCCUUAACUUUAAUAUUUUAUCAAUUUAACCAUUUACGAAAUAAAAUAAUAAUUAUAAGAAAAUUGAAUACUUUCAUUUCAUAAAAUUCGGGGUCUUACACCCUGCAGGUCAGUUCCAUAGUUCAAUUACAAUGCCCCAUGUCAUUAUUUUAUUUUAUUUAGUAUUGAGAAAUUAAGUAAAUACUACUUAGUUCAAUAUAUAAUUUAUUUUAUUUUAUUUUUAUUAUUUUUUAAUAUUCUAUUUAGUAUUGAGAAACUAAAUAAAUACGUACUAAUUAGUUCAUUAUUUUAUUUAUUCUAUUUUACUUUACUUUAUUUUAUUUUAUUUUAUUUAGUAUUGAUAAACUAAGUAAAUACUAAUUAUUUUAUUAUAUUAUUUAUUUUAUUUUAUUUGUUUUAUUUUAUAAUAUUUUAUUUAGUUUAUUUUAUUUUAUUUAGUAUUGAGAAACUAAGUAAAUACUAUUAAUUCAUUAUAUUAUAUUAUUUAUUUUAUUUUGUUUCAUUUUUAUUAUUUUAAAUAGUACAAAUUGUCCUAAAUUAAACGGUACACACUAUUGUUUCUUCCAAUAUUUCAGUUUAUUAAAUGAAAUUAUUCAAAAAUCAUAAUAUUCGAGUCUACAAAUUUAUUUUAAACAUUAUUUUAUCAAAACAUAGCUCACCGCACUCAUCAAAUUAAAUUCGGAAUGCUACCCAAAAUCAGAAUUAUGACAAGUUUCUAAAAAAUCAGAGGAUUCAAGUGCUAAAUCAAAUUCAAUUAUAUUCAGAAUGACAAUUCCUAAAUCAGAAGAUCCAAGUGCUUCCCAAGUUUCUCCAGUUUGUGUAAUGCUAUGGCAUAAGAAAUCCCAACCAAACUCACAUGACAUAUGACAUAGAAGGCUCAAACAUUUGAGAUACAAAAUCUAACAAUAUCUAACACUUGUUCGGAAAAAACUAUAACUACAUGCACAAAAUAUACACUGGGAUUCAACAUAUAUAUAAGAUUCAACCUAAGAUUUCAACAUUUUCUUAAAAAAUUCAAAUGAGAACAAAAAAAAAAUUAAUACCUGAUUUAUAGAGUGGCCUGGGCUUGGUCGAUGGCGACAACUUCGACGGUAGCAACCUUCCUCUCUUCCCUCUUCUUCUCCAUUUUCUCCCUCUUCUCCCUCUUCUUUUUCUUUCUUUCCACCGUCUCCUGGGCUGCUCGACUGCCUAUUUUGAUUAGAUUAAAGAAGAUCAGGGACCACAUGCGGUCGCUGUUUUUUAAUGACGUGGAUGUAUUAGAGACCGCUGGCGAUCGUUGGAAUUUGUUGGUCGUAAUAAACCUCCCCACCAACAUUUGCGCAAAAUUUAUGACGGCAAAAUUAAAUCAGCGACUGCAUGCGGUCGCUGAUAGUAGCUAGCAACUAGAUUUACAUACGGUUGCUAAUAUCGGUCGCUAUUAAUAACAUUAACGACCGGAUUAUGCGAUCGCUGAAAGUAUUGAUCGUUGUUGGACCAUUUUAUUAUAGUGUCGCCUCGUUUUCAAGCCUAUUGAUUGUAAUUAAGUCUAAGUUUUGACUCUAGACUGGAGAAUUAAAGUCUCCCCACUUAUAUCCGGAAUGUGUUUUCAUUAAGGCCAAUUAUGGAUGUGUGGACUUUAAACCUGGAUCAAGAUGUUUGCUUGCAAUGAUUAUACUUGAAAUAUGACUAUUAAUCACAAGUGUCUUAUUUGUUUUUAAAUUUGAACUUGAGACUAUUACUCCAUAGAUUAUAAAAUGACUUAAUAUAGGGGACUAUUUAAUACCAUGUUCAACUAGGUAUUAUAAUCUCAUAAAUUAUAAUCCCAAAAUUAUAAUACUUGUAAAGAAACAUGAGUUAUUGUCGUAUGUAAACUUAAGAAUGACAUUAUGUUAUUUUGACCAUCACAAAUUUAUCCGAAAUGUCAUAACGUUAAUUACAAUUAUAAUAUGUUUAUAUUUCUUAUAACUAAGAAUGUUUUAAAUUAAAUUUGAAAAAAGUAAAACCUAAUUUUACAUUUUAAACUUGAUAUUAUAAUCCCUAUAUAUGCAAAACGUGAUUUGAUUUGGACGCAAAGGUCAAAACGGAGAAGCGAAAUAUAGAUUAGAGAGGCUGCCCUUUCAAAGUAUAAAAGACUAACUACACAUCCAAGUUUCUUUCUCACAACCUAACGCUAUAAAUCAUUUGUUGAAUAUAUUUGAUCACAUGCAUUAUUAAUUUGCAUUUUUCUCCAUUUUCAUGUUUCUUUUUCCAAGUACACGUGGGAAAAAAAUUCAAUCCAAAUCGUUCCAAGUACAACUCGUCCUUUCUCAACCCUACUUAAUUCACAAAUACAAUUAUUUCCAAAUGUUGAAAUUUAAUAUAUACUAUAAGAAAUAUAUAGCUCACCCACUCUUCAUACAAGUCAAAAGAUGGCUGAAUUAAACAAUGUGUAGGUCAUACAUUAUUCUUAUUUUUAAGGGAUAACUUAGUCUUCAAAUUAUAAUUAUUUUUUUAUAUUUAGUCUCUUAACUAUUUUUUCGCAUAUUUUAUUUUUAAAUUAUAUUUUUCUUUCAUGUUAAUCACUUAAUUAAAAUAGAGUAUUUUUCACGUUUAAUUUUUAAAUUGUGAUUGUUAUUCAUAUUUGGUCUUUAAUUUAUAUAGUUGUUUUUCAUAUUUAGUACCCUUUAAUUACUCUAUUUUUAUAAAAUUUGACAAAGAUUAAAAAAAAUAAUAAAAUAUGAGGACGAAAUGCGUGAAAACAAAUAAUUUAAAAACUAAACAUGCAAAACAACAAUAAUUUAGAUAUAACGAAGAGGUUAUCCCUAUUUUUAACUCCGCCUAAUUCAAAUGUUCAUCAAUUGUAUAAAUAGACACAAAGUUAAUGAUACAAACUACUUGUAAUAUACGUCUAGUUAAAAUACAAUCGAUUUGACAUAUUUUUUUUAUAUGCAUAAAAAUUGUAUAUGUUGUGAAUAUUGCAGAUCUAUAUACAUGUUCUUAUGAAAUUAUAUUCUGAUCUAAAAGAUUAAGAUUCCUUGUAACAUAUGAUCCCUUCAUUUAUAUAGACACCAAAUUUCUUCUUAAAUUUUCACUACAAGAAAAAGGCCCAACAGUAAUUAAAAUUAUCUGUGACCGCCAUUUGUUGUCGCUAAUACUUAUAACAUCGACCGGUAUUAACGACCUCAUUUUAAUUUAGUCAUUAUUACUUUCCGUGAUUGUAAUCGGUCGAUGUUCGGUCGCUAAAAGAAUUUUCUAACAAAAAUUUGGCGUGAAAGUGGGGCGGGAAGCCUUUUUGCGACCGGAUCGUAAUAGCGACCGGAUAUCGGUUGCUAAUUCUACCACAUAGUUAAAAAUUAGCGACCGCGGGAGGUCGCAGAAAGCAGUCGAUGAUCCUAUUUAAUCUAUCAGGAAUUAGACAGUCAGACAGAAAUGAAAAAGAAUUAAGAAAAGAGAAGAGGGAGAAGAGAGAAUAGAGGAGUGCCCCCACCCCGGCCGGUCCACCCCACGCCGCCCUAUCAGGUAUAGUUUCUUAGUAAUGUAAUGUGUAUAAAUGUAUAAAUUAAUGUGUAUAAAUGUAUAAUUCUUUUAACUGAACAUAUGUAUAAUUUUCUUAUGUGCACUUUAAUGGUGAGUAGUAAUUUUAACUCAACUCGUGUGUAAAAGCUUUGCGAAAUAAAUCUUCAAUUUACCAAACUUGGAAAUUUUAUAUGGGUAUUAACAAGUACAAUCUAAUUAUAUCAAUGGUGCAUUGAUAUGUUCCAGAUGCAUGAAUUAUACCAUUUUUGAAUCAAUGUAUUAAUAUUAACCUUCAUCUUAGAAAGUAUAUAUAAUAUCACUAAUACAUUAUAAUACAGUAUAAUGCUUACAAUUAUUUAUUAGUGUAGUGCGAUUUAAAAGAAUGAACCCUCUAAUGCAUUCUAGUAUAGCAUUUUCAUAAAUUGAGAUGAGUAGAGGUGCAAUUAUUUAUGCAAAUUUUUGUAAAUAAGUACGAUACCAAAUUACUUAAUAAUCGCUAUCACACCGUACCAUAGUCAUCGUAAUUUUAUGGUGUGGUACUCGUACAAAAAAGCUUACCUGAGUUGCUCUUUAGAAUUCUAAGUUGGCACAAACAAUAAUCGAAUAGUCUUACCUUUUUUUAUGUUGUGCUUUGUAGGAUUAACUUUUUGAUGCUUUUGCAUCCAUUCGUUAUUGUUUUGGCCUUAUUAUAUUUUGAAUUUGUAUAUUUCUCUUGGGUAGUGUCUUGGGUGCCUACAAAUGACCAUAUAUGCAUACCCUCGUGCAUGUGGAUAGUGUAUAUUAUAGGGGAGACUAGCGAAUUUUUUUUAUUGGUCGAAUAACUGAAAAGAGGGGUAUAUUUUUAUAAUACCUACGUAUAUGCAAAAACAAAUGAUGUAGACUUGUCCCAAUGCAUAUGCAGACCAUGCAUGAUGCAAUGAUUCAUAUUAUAUCCCUAGGACUCUAUUGUCUUUAGACUGGUGCAGAUGUUUCAGUUAAAAUAUGUAGGAUGACAUAGGACCAUACUUCAUUCUAAUUUGAGAUCCACAACAAUAUAUCAUGCUAUGUAAAUUUGUUUUGGUACAUAUGUAUCCUCAUUCCAUUCCCGAAGCAGCAUUUAUGAUGCACACUCAUGUUAUAUAUGUACAUAUACAUCUAUAUGUAUUUAUAAGUAUCAUAAAUAGCAUUGGCUGAAUUGUAAAUCUCUAACAAGGGAAAUAAAAUAACUCUUGUCUGCAGUAAGUAUCGUGGUAUCAUGGACCUCUAUUUAGACCGUAGGUGGAUGAGUCGGCGAAAGUCAGGUGCCCGGAUAGGUGCUUCAGAUGAAUUUAGAGCUGGUUGCUAAGUGUUUUUAGAUUAUGCAUAUAGUAACCCAAAAUGAGUGAAUGGUCAGAACAAGAUAAGAUGCCCUUGUUUGAAGUGUAAGAAUAUAAAUUACAUGGACAGAGACAUUGUCAACUAUCAUUUACUUGUUUCUAGGUUCAUGAAAAAAUACGAAGAAUGCUAGUGGGCACAUGGUCAGAGAAGAGAUAGUGGUACAUCACACGUACACAAUUCGGGCAGUAGUACUCAUCGUAUGAAUGAAAUGGUUCAUGAUAUUGUAGGGUCGGAUUUUGAUUAGAAACAAGGUAGAGAGCAACCUAUGAAUUCUUAUGCCAAAGCGUUCUUUAAGUUGUCAGACGAGGGUAGAGAGUCGUUGUGGCAUGGUUGCACCAAGCACACUACAUUUUCUGCAGUGGUGACAUUACUUAACAUCAAGGUUGAUCACAACAUGAGCCAUGAGUGUUUUGAGUCGCUUUUGAAUGCCAUUAAGAGUAUGUUGUAUGAGACUAAAAAAUUUCCCAAAAACUACUACUAUUGUAAGAAAAUGGUGAAGAAGUUGGGUCUUGGAUACUAAAAGAUCGAUGCAUGUCCGAACGAUUGCAUUUUAUUUUAUAAGGAAGAUUAACAUGAGACAAGGUGCACAUUUUGCAGUCAUAAUCGGUUUAGGCCUAAUAGAGAGGGUCUGACAACAAAAAAAACAAAUAUACCUUUUAAGAUUUUAAGGUAUUUUCCAAUUACGGCUAAAAAGAUUGUAUAUGUCUUCCAAAAUAGCUGAACAUGUGACUUGGCAUGCGAAAUCUCAAGCUAAAGAUAGGGAACUAAACCAUCCCGCAGAUGGGAAGGCUUGAAAAGAUUUCAACUUAGCACAUCCUGGGUUUGCAUUGGAACCUAGGAAUGUGAGGCUUGGAUUGUCCACUGAUGGUUUCAACCCGUUCGGCCACUCUGCUGUUCCGUACUCUUGCUGGCCUGUGAUUGUUACUCCAUACAACUUGCCUCCUUGGAUGUGUAUGAAACAACCAUAUUUAGUUUUUUCACUUGUGAUUCCUAUUCCCAAGAGUCCUGGAAAGAACCUAGAUGUUUACUUGAGACCUCUGAUAGACGAGUUGAAGGUAUUGUGGGAGGAUGGAGUACAGACUUGUGAAGUUUUCUCAAAAAUAAAUUUCAACCUUAGGGCUGCGGUUAUGUGGACUAUAAGUGACUUCCUUGAUUAUGGUAUGUUAGCUAGAUGGAGUACACAUGGUAAGUUGGCUUGUCCGUAUUGUAUGGAGCGUACAAAGUCCUUCAAUCUAUCAAAAGGUAGAAAGCCUUGCUUGUUUAACUGUCAUCGUCGAUUCUUGCCGGUAGAUCACCCAUUUCGAAAAAACAUAGAACACUUCAAGAAAGGGAAAGUAGACAAUGAUAUGCCUGCACCGCGAUUUUCGGGGACGGAGAUGUGUGACCAUGUGAUGAGAUUAUCGGUUAUCUCAUUUGGAAAGACUGUUUCCUCAAACACAAUCGAUGGGUUUGGCGAGUCUCAUAAUUGGGUUCACAAAAACAUCUUUUGGGAACUGACUUAUUAGUCUACAAAUUUGAUUUGGCAUAAUCUAGAUGUGAUGCAUAUUGAGAAGAAUGUGUUCGACAAUGUGUUUAACAUCGUGAUGAGUGUUACAGGAAAGAGGAAAGAUAAUGAUAAAGCACGGUUAGACAUGAAAGAUAUUUGUAAACGUCCUGGAUUAGAACUUUAUGAAUCUACAAUUGGUAAAAUGUUCAAACCGCAUGCAAGAUACACAUUGUCCAAAAAGCAGGUUGAAGAAGUGUGCACAUGGAUUAAGUCUCUCAAACUACCAAAUGGAUAUGCGUCAAACAUUGCAAGGUGUGUUACGGGUGGGAAAUUGCAAGGGAUGAAGAAUCAUAACUGUCAUGUGUUCAUGGAAAGACUCGUGCAUGUUUAUAGCAUUUUGGGAUAUGCUUGAUAAACCAAUAUGGGAUGCUUUGACUGAUCUUAGUUAUUUUUUCAGAGACUUGUGUCCCAAAACAUUAAAUGAGAAGGACAUGUCAGUACAUCAUUGAGAUCACGUGUAAGCUUAAAACAAUAUUCCUGCCUGGUUUUUUUUGUCUCCAUGGAGCAUUUGCAAAUCCAUCUUCCCUAUGAAGCUCAUGUUAGGAGUCCAUUUCAAUAUAAAUGGAUGUACCCUUUCGAAAGGGUGAUGGGAAACCAUAAGAGGAAGGUGAAAAUAGAGCUUAUGUCGAGGGGUCGAUAUGUGAGGCAUACAGUUUCAAUGAGAUAUCUACGUUUAUCUCAGACUAUUUUCCCGACGAAGUCUUGACAAAGGUCAAUCGAGUCUCGAGACAUGAUGAUGGGGGUAAUGUUGAACUAAAUGGUCGGCAUUCUGUAUUUGGUCUAUCAGGUCGCGCUUAUAGAAAAAGAAAGCGCAUAUUCCUCUUUGAACAAGAUUUACAUGCUGCACAUACUUACAUUGUAAGACCCCAACUUUUAUGAAUAAAGAAUAAUUUUCUCAAAAUAUAUUUUUGAAUAUUAUGGUGUGGAUUUGAUAUAAUGUUAUAGUUGUGGGAGAAACCUUCAUUACAUCCACUGUUUAUAAGUCUUGUUUGAUUCAAAUCGGUAACUGCGCGUUACCUGUCGAACUUAUUUCCUUGAAAAUACUUGCAUUUGAUGUGAUUUUAGGGAUUGAUUGAUUAACUACUCAUCAUGCUAAAAUCGAUUGUUUUCGUAAGUUUGUUAGCUUUCAUAUUCCUAACCAACCUAUUAUGUGAAUUCAAGCAACCAAACCACUAAAAUCAAUCACUGUUAUAUCAAGUCAUAAAGCUAUUCGUUUAUUAAAAAAUGGAUGUCAAGCUUUCUUAGCCCAUGUCACGGAUUUAAAUAAAAAUAGGUCAGAUUUGAAUGAUAUUUCUAUUGUUAAUAAAUUUCCUGACGUAUUCCCUGAAGAACUUCCUGGCCUACCCCCAGAGCGUGAAAUUGAAUUUUGUAUCGACCUUGAAUUCGGUACAAAACCCAUUUCCAAAGCCCCAUAUUGAAUGGCUUCUAUUGAACUUCAGGAGUUAAAAACCCAACUACAGGAAUUGUUAGACAUCAGUUACAUUCAUCCUAGUACGUCUCCUUGGGGUGCUCCUGUUCUAUUCGUGAAGAAGAAAGAUGGAAGUAUGCGACUUUGUAUUGAUUAUCAGGAGUUGAAUCAUGUCACCAUCAAAAAUAGGUACCCGUUGCCUCGCAUUGAUGACCUAUUUGACCAGUUGCAAGGAGCCAAAUUCUUUUUAAAGAUUGAUCUUCGUUCCAGAUAUCAUCAGUUGAAGAAUAAAAUUGAUGACAUUCCAAAUACUGCUUUCAGAACUCGGUACGGGCAUUAUAAAUUCCUAGUCAUGUCUUUUAGAUUGACUAAUGCUCCUACUGCCUUCAUGGACAUGAUGAACCGAGUAUUCAAGGAAUAUUUGGAUCACUUUUUGGUUGUCUUUAUUGAUGACAUCCUCAUAUACUCCAAAACCCGUGAAGACCAUGAGCAACACUUAAGGCUGAUACUCCAAAAGUUUCGUGAAAACAAGCUAUAUGCCAAGUUAAAGAAAUGUGAGUUCUGGCUUGAGGAAGUUGCAUUACUUGGGCACGUGAUAUCAAAUCAUGGAAUAUCUGUUGACCCAGCAAAGAUUGAAGCAAUUCAAAGCUGGGAGCAACCAAAGUUAGUGACUGAAGUACAUAGCUUUCUCGGCUUAGCUGGUUAUUAUCGGAGAUUCGUGGAAGGAUUUUCUCGAAUCGCUACUCCAUUAACUCAGCUGACUCGAAAAGAUACAAAGUUCAGUUAGAGCGAGGAAUGUGAGAAGAGUUUUCAAGAACUCAAGAGAAGACUCAUUUCAGCACCUAUUCUGACAAUACCAUCUGGCUCGAAGGGAUUUGUCAUCUACAGUGAUGCUUCAGGCAAAGGGUUAGGAUGUGUUCUCAUGCAACAUGGGAAAGUCAUAGCCUAUGCCUCUCGAAAACUCAUUGAAUAUGAGAGAAAUUAUUCUACUCAUGAUCUAGAGUUGGCAGCAGUCGUUUUUGCGCUUAAGAUUUGGAGGCAUUACCUGUAUGGAGAGAAGGUGGAGAUCUAUACGGAUCAUAAAAGCCUCAAAUAUUUCUUUACUCAAAAGGAACUCAACAUGCGACAACGACGAUGGCUUGAGUUGUUGAAAGAUUAUGAUCAUACCAUCCAAUACCAUCCUGGAAAAGCGAACGUAGUAGCUAACGCACUGAGUAGAAGAUCAUAUGCGGGUACAAGUGCAAUAUUGUCAACGCAAAGGCCCAUUUUGUAUGACUUGGAAAGGAUGGAAAUAGAGUUAAAGACUCCAGGGACCCAUGUGAUGAUGGUGAAUAUACAAGUAGAAUCGACUUUAAUUGAUAAAGUUAAAGCUGCUCAACUUACGGACCUAGAGCUGAUGCGUAUGAGGAAGAAAGUACAAGAAGGUGCUAUUCCAGAAGUAAGAAUCGAUGAAGAAGGAAUACUUUGAGUCAACUCCAGACUUUGUGUUCCUAACGAUUCUGACUUGAAGUAUAAAAUCAUGAUGGAGGCGCACAACACACCGUUUGCAAUCCAUCCUGGGAGUACAAAAAUGUAUCGUGAUCUUCGACAUACAUUUUGGUAGAGAAAUAUGAAGAGAGAGAUAGCGGGGUUUAUCUCAAGGUGUCUAGCUUGUCAACGAGUCAUGGCAGAGCAUCAAGUGCCAAAAGAUCCAUUGCAACCACUUAAAAUUCCAGAAUGGAAGUGGGAUCACAUUAUCAUGGAUUUCAUUAGUGGUCUUCCCAAAGUUUCUCAAGGCAUAGAUGCAAUUUGGGUCAUUGUUGAUAGAUUGACCAAGUCUGCUCAUUUCUUACCGAUACGAGAAACUUUUACACUUGAACGUCUUGCUAGUAUGUACAUAAAUGAGAUUGUAAGAUUGCAUGGUAUGUAAAUAUCCAUAGUUUCUGAUCGAGACCCAAGAUUCACUUCAAGAUUUUAGGUUAGUUUGCAAAAAGCUAUGGGCACGGAUUUACGAUUUAGUUCGGCAUAUCAUCCUCAAACGGAUGGGUAGUCGAAAAGGACUAUUCAAACUCUUGAAGAUUUAUUAAGACUCUGUGUCCUUGACUUCAAAGGAAGUUGGGACAAGUUCUUACCAUUGGUGGAGUUUUCCUACAAUAAUAGUUAUCAAGCAAGUAUUGGCAUGGCUCCAUUUGAGGCGUUGUAAGGAAGAAAGUGUCGUUCUCCAGUAUGUUGGGAUGAGGUGGGUGAAGCAACGUUGUUGGGAUCGAAUUUGGUACGUAUGACUACGGAAAAGAUUUAAACGAUCCGACAACAUAUAAAAACCUCACAAGAUCGACAAAAGAGUUAUGUUGAUCUUCAUCGAAAGGACGUGGAAUUCAAUAUUGGAGAUCAUGUGUUGUUACGUGUUCCUCCAUGGAAAGGAGUUACGAGAUUUGGAAAGAGAGAAAAGCUCAAUCCUCGAUUCAUUGGCCCAUUUUUAAUCCUCGGUCGAGUAGGAACUGUGGCCUAUAGACUCGCCUUACCGCCAAGUAUGUCUCGUGUACAUAAUGUUUUUCACAUAUCUAUGUUACAUAAAUAUGUGAAAGACCUGAACCACAUUAUUGAAUUAGAACCAGACGAGAUAGAGGAAGAUUUAACGUAUGAAGAUUUACCUGUUAAAAUCUUGGAUAAGAAGGAUCAUAUUCUACGCUCCAAGGUUAUACCUCAAGUCAAAGUUUUGUGGAGAAACCACGAUGUGGAAGAAAUGACCUGGGAGUUAGAAUCUGAGAUGAAGUCAAGAUAUCCUCACCUCUUCGAUAUACCAGGUACGUACCCUAAUUUCGAGGACGAAAUUUCAUAAGAAGGGGAGGUUGUAAGACCCCAACUUUUAUGAAUAAAGAAUAAUUUUCUCGAAAUAUAUUUUUGAAUAUUAUGGUGUGGAUUUGAUAUAAUGUUAUAGUUGUGGGUAAUAUUUACAAAUUUUGCAAAGUAAGCAAGUGGUUAUAUAAUAUUCGAUUGGUCGGGGAAUAUUCGUUUUAACAGGGAAUAUUCGUACGACGGCACAAUCAUUGGUGGACCCCACAACGGAAGUAUUGUCGUAGUUAGAAAAUGACAGAAUUAUCUUUUUAUAAAAAUAACGGCGAAAGUGUUACCGUUAAAACUGUUGAACUACCCGGUAGUAAAAGUACAGUAAUACGCGUGGUUGCAUAGUAGCACACGGUAUUGAUUAUUGAUGCUUACGUGAGAAGUCACUCAGUUAUACUCAAUUAUUGCUACAGUAAUUGCUGCAUCAUAUCUCUCAUAUUAUUGAUUCAAUUAUUGUCACAGUAUCAUCUGCAUAAUAUGUUAUAUUAUUAAAUCAAUAAUUGAGACGACAAAGUUAUUCAUAUUAUUAUUUGCAAUAUUGACAAUGUCUAGAAGUUCUGUCAAGGAGAGGUUUGGUCACCUAAUUGCGCGCCAAUAAGGAGAAAUCCUUAUCGGAAAGCCCCCUCUUUCCUGGGAACGACCUGGUUGUUAAAUAUUGUGAGUUAUAAUAUUAAUGAUGAAUAAGUUCGUGUUGAUUAAAGAUGAAAUUGAUAGUUCCAUUGUGUUGGAAUUAUUAGUGUUAGUGGAAAUCGACAUUUAUUUCGAUAAUAAUUGAUGUCUGGAGGUUAUAUUGACCAAUCGGGUAAUUAACCGGAUAAAUGAGCAAUUAAUUGCUAUUAAUUCACAUGAUUAUAACUAUUUGUUCACAUGUGUGUACUAUUGAUUCACAUUCUUGUACUAUUAGGGGAGUUGGUGCAAGAUUGAUAAUACUUGCAUGACUAAGUUAAAAAUGGAGGUAUAGAUGGAGGUACUAUACUGUAAUUCGUAUUUUCACAUGUCUAGAACUAUUGAUUCACAUGAUUUACUAUUGAUUCACAUGAUUUACUAUUAGGGGAGGUGGUGCAAGUUUGAUAAUACUUGCAGGACUAAAUUAAAAAUGAAGGAAAAGAGGAAGGUAUUAUACUGUAAUAUUUCGAGCCCCAAAACGUGCAAUUAUCGAAACUAUAUUUUCCUAUAAAUAGAAGCUCAUUCUUCCUUCAUUUCUCACCAAUUCACUAAAGCUAUAGAGCAAUUAUUAUAGAGAGAAAUUAUAGAGAGAAAGAAGAAGAGAAGUCUGCUACCUCACUAUUCCAGUAUCCAGUUUUCUUCUAAGGUAAGGGGUAUUAUUUCUUUCGUAUUCAUGAAGAGAGCUAUUGUUAUUCCAUUCCUUAUUAUUCUGUUGGAAUAACCUGUAUACGCGGACUACCGUAUACAUGGUGAAAUUCUUCUGUUAUUCCAUUCUUUAUUAUUAUGUUGGAAUAACCUGUCUAUGCGAAGUACCGCAUACAUGGUGAAAUUCUUCUGUUAUUCCAUUCUUUAUUAUUCUGUUGGAAUAACCUGUCUAUGCGAAGUACCGCAUGCAUGGUGAUUUCUUUUGUUAUUCCAUUCUUUAUUAUACUCAGUUGGUUAAAGUUUUGACUUCUAUACUCCAUGAAAUUAGUGGAAUAUCCUUGAUAUUUGCGCUUCAUCCAGUAUCUUUUCAUGGAAAUAUUCUUCUGAGCAUUCUUGAAUUUUACUCUACAAAGAAGUAUCAUGUUGACAAUUUGGACGUUAUUAGUUCCUGGAUAAAUUAAUUCUUGAACUUGUUUUAUUGAAUUCUUAUAUCAUUGUCAUCAUCCUCAUGUUUAUAUUUUGUUGAAAGUCAUCUGUGGCCUGUAGUGCAUAGAUGGACUUGGUAUGAUUAUGACCAGGGAUUAUUCGGUGUAAUCAUGACCGUAAUGUUACAAAUGAUGUGGUAAAAGUCCUCAUUGGCCCGUAGUGCAUUGAUGGACAGUUGUUGGCAUGAUCAUGACCAUUAAUGAAUACACAAAUAUUCUUGGCCCGUAGUGCAUGGAUAAUUGUGGUCGUGAUACUAAAGAAUAUCCUUGGCCGUAGUGCAGGGGUGAUUCGAUGAUGUGGAUUAUUUAUUAAGCUGAGUCCCAGCGAUAAAAGUGAUGAAAAACCUUUUAAAUCAUAAAAGAUAGUAGAUUUUAUUCUCUACUUGACUCUUUUAAUGGAUUGCUUGUUCCGCUGCAGUUAAACUUGAUGUUUGUUAUAUUGUAUCAGUUUAACACUGUUUAAGGCUAAUGAUAAUUUAUUCUGCAUUAUCUUAGUCAUAAUAUUUCUUACUGGGCUAGUUGAGCUCACCCUUUCUUUCACUGUUCUCUUCAGGAAAUGAGAACGUAGCCGGGACUAGUCGGAAGACGGAGUGACGGUCCAGAUGAUAGCAUUAGUAGUCAUCACUAUUCUCUUGAAUAGUAUGACAAUAAAUGUAAUGAGGACUCCAUUGAGUGUGGAUAUUGUCUAGAUGAUAAUAUUCUUAUUAAAACUCUUAGAUUAUGUUUUAUUGUAUUUUACACGACUGUUGUAUAAUUAAGUUGUAUUUGAAUUUUGUACCAUGUAUUUGGCGACUCAAGAUGGGUGAUAUAUACCUGUUUUGGGGGCGUCACAUACAUUCUUCUCAAUUGCGUGGAGAUUAACGAAUUUAUGAGGUACACAUAUAAAAUUUCAAUUAUUUUAGGGAUAGCUAUAUCUUAACCUACAAUGAUAUACAUUCCAAUAUGUUAAUGUUUAUAAAAUAUUAUAGAUCAUACGAUGAUGAGUUAAAAGUGAAUCAGCCCGGCAUAACUGAUAAAGAUGUUCAAAUCAGUCGUGAUAAAAACUUUGUAAGGUGGCUUAAGGGAAAAAGUAUGCUACAUAUAUUAAGCAUUAAUAUAUACUCCAUUAAUUUAAGACUUCAUUUAAUGUAAUAGAGUUUUUAUAUGAUCUUACUAAGGGAACGAUUUCGGAUAAUGUACAAGUCCUAGCUAUGGGCCCAGACAUGGACCAAGUCAGCUGCAAUAGUUACAAGAUCAAUGGUUGUGAAUUUUAUAUAAAGGCAUAUGUGACAACCCAAAUUUUUAUAAAUUAUUAAAAUAAAAAUUUAAUAAUUACAAUUCUUAUUAUGAGAUGUAUAUAUUUUGAAUUAUGUGUUUUGGUGUGAAUAAAUUAAAUUUUUAUGAGAUUUAAUAGUUGAUUAAACUAUUGAAGAAAGUGAAGCAAAUUAGUUAUGAAAAAAGGAAAAUGGCG